GGGUUGUGAGGUUAAGCGACUAAGCGUACACGGUGGAUGCCCUGGCAGUCAGAGGCGAUGAAGGACGUGCUAAUCUGCGAAAAGCGUCGGUAAGGUGAUAUGAACCGUUACAGCCGGCGAUGUCCGAAUGGGGAAACCCAGUGCAAUUCGUUGCACUAUCGUUAACUGAAUACAUAGGUUAACGAGGCGAACCGGGGGAACUGAAACAUCUAAGUACCCCGAGGAAAAGAAAUCAACCGAGAUUCCCCCAGUAGCGGCGAGCGAACGGGGAGCAGCCCAGAGUCUGAAUCAGCUUGUGUGUUAGUGGAACGGUCUGGAAAGUCCGACGGUACAGGGUGAUAGUCCCGUACACCAAAAUGCACAGGUUGUGAACUCGAAGAGUAGGGCGGGACACGUGGUAUCCUGUCUGAAUAUGGGGGGACCAUCCUCCAAGGCUAAAUACUCCUGACUGACCGAUAGUGAACCAGUACCGUGAGGGAAAGGCGAAAAGAACCCCGGCGAGGGGAGUGAAAAAGAACCUGAAACCGUGUACGUACAAGCAGUGGGAGCACCUUCGGGUGUGACUGCGUACCUUUUGUAUAAUGGGUCAGCGACUUAUAUUCUGUAGCAAGGUUAACCGUAUAGGGGAGCCGCAGGGAAACCGAGUCUUAACUGGGCGUUAAGUUGCAGGGUAUAGACCCGAAACCCGGUGAUCUAGCCAUGGGCAGGUUGAAGGUUGGGUAACACUAACUGGAGGACCGAACCGACUAAUGUUGAAAAAUUAGCGGAUGACUUGUGGCUGGGGGUGAAAGGCCAAUCAAACCGGGAGAUAGCUGGUUCUCCCCGAAAGCUAUUUAGGUAGCGCCUCGUGAACUCAUCUUCGGGGGUAGAGCACUGUUUCGGCUAGGGGGUCAUCCCGACUUACCAACCCGAUGCAAACUACGAAUACCGAAGAAUGUUAUCACGGGAGACACACGGCGGGUGCUAACGUCCGUCGUGAAGAACAACCCAGACCGCCAGCUAAGGUCCCAAAGUCAUGGUUAAGUGGGAAACGAUGUGGGAAGGCACAGACAGCCAGGAUGUUGGCUUAGAAGCAGCCAUCAUUUAAAGAAAGCGUAAUAGCUCACUGGUCGAGUCGGCCUGCGCGGAAGAUGUAACGGGCUAAACCAUGCACCGAAGCUGCGGCAGCGACACUAUGUGUUGUUGGGUAGGGGAGCGUUCUGUAAGCCUGCGAAGGUGUGCUGUGAGGCAUGCUGGAGGUAUCAGAAGUGCGAAUGCUGACAUAAGUAACGAUAAAGCGGGUGAAAAGCCCGCUCGCCGGAAGACCAAGGGUUCCUGUCCAACGUUAAUCGGGGCAGGGUGAGUCGACCCCUAAGGCGAGGCCGAAAGGCGUAGUCGAUGGGAAACAGGUUAAUAUUCCUGUACUUGGUGUUACUGCGAAGGGGGGACGGAGAAGGCUAUGUUAGCCGGGCGACGGUUGUCCCGGUUUAAGCAUGUAGGCUGGUUAUCCAGGCAAAUCCGGAUAAUCAAGGCUGAGGUGUGAUGACGAGGCACUACGGUGCUGAAGUAACAAAUGCCCUGCUUCCAGGAAAAGCCUCUAAGCAUCAGGUAACAUCAAAUCGUACCCCAAACCGACACAGGUGGUCAGGUAGAGAAUACCAAGGCGCUUGAGAGAACUCGGGUGAAGGAACUAGGCAAAAUGGUGCCGUAACUUCGGGAGAAGGCACGCUGGUGUGUAGGUGAAGUCCCUGCGGAUGGAGCUGAGACCAGUCGAAGAUACCAGCUGGCUGCAACUGUUUAUUAAAAACACAGCACUGUGCAAACACGAAAGUGGACGUAUACGGUGUGACGCCUGCCCGGUGCCGGAAGGUUAAUUGAUGGGGUUAUCCGUAAGGAGAAGCUCUUGAUCGAAGCCCGGUAAACGGCGGCCGUAACUAUAACGGUCCUAAGGUAGCGAAAUUCCUUGUCGGGUAAGUUCCGACCUGCACGAAUGGCGUAAUGAUGGCCAGGCUGUCUCCACCCGAGACUCAGUGAAAUUGAACUCGCUGUGAAGAUGCAGUGUACCCGCGGCAAGACGGAAAGACCCCGUGAACCUUUACUAUAGCUUGACACUGAACAUUGAGCCUUGAUGUGUAGGAUAGGUGGGAGGCUUUGAAGCGUGGACGCCAGUCUGCGUGGAGCCAACCUUGAAAUACCACCCUUUAAUGUUUGAUGUUCUAACGUUGGCCCCUGACCGGGGUUGCGGACAGUGUCUGGUGGGUAGUUUGACUGGGGCGGUCUCCUCCCAAAGCGUAACGGAGGAGCACGAAGGUUAGCUAAUCCCUGGUCGGACAUCAGGAGGUUAGUGCAAUGGCAUAAGCUAGCUUGACUGCGAGCGUGACGGCGCGAGCAGGUGCGAAAGCAGGUCAUAGUGAUCCGGUGGUUCUGAAUGGAAGGGCCAUCGCUCAACGGAUAAAAGGUACUCCGGGGAUAACAGGCUGAUACCGCCCAAGAGUUCAUAUCGACGGCGGUGUUUGGCACCUCGAUGUCGGCUCAUCACAUCCUGGGGCUGAAGUAGGUCCCAAGGGUAUGGCUGUUCGCCAUUUAAAGUGGUACGCGAGCUGGGUUUAGAACGUCGUGAGACAGUUCGGUCCCUAUCUGCCGUGGGCGCUGGAGAAUUGAGGGGGGCUGCUCCUAGUACGAGAGGACCGGAGUGGACGCAUCACUGGUGUUCGGGUUGUCAUGCCAAUGGCACUGCCCGGUAGCUAAAUGCGGAAGAGAUAAGUGCUGAAAGCAUCUAAGCACGAAACUUGCCCCGAGAUGAGUUCUCCCUGAGACUUUAAGUCUCCUGAAGGAACGUUAAAGACGAUGACGUUGAUAGGCCGGGUGUGUAAGCGCAGCGAUGCGUUGAGCUAACCGGUACUAAUGAACCGUGAGGCUUAACCUUACAACGCCGAAG
rnacentral:rRNA from 1 species